rnacentral:misc_RNA from 1 species
UUCUUCUUCUUCUUCUUCUUCUUUUUCUUUCUCUUCUCUACUUCCCUUCUCAACACCAUUCUUAUUAGCUCCAGCUGCAAAUCCCCUCUCUUUAGCCUCAUCUUCUUCACAGCGUCACCAAGCGCUUCAGAUUCGCCGAUCAAUUUCUUUCUCUUAAUAGGCUUCCCCAAUUUCACCAACCGUGACAACCUUUCCUCUUUCGGUGCCCUAAUUUCGACAUUGUGAGGCAGUGAAUCUGCAUUGGCAGUCGAUUUCUUCUGGUACUUUCUUUGCAAUUUAAGUGACUCGGGUACUUUCCUCUUGUACUG